GAAAGAUUCAUCGGAAGAGGAUGGGCAUGCGGCGCAUUAGCUAGACGGCGGGGUAACGGCCCACCGUGGCGACGAUGCGUAGGGGUUCUGAGAGGAAGGUCCCCCACACUGGUACUGAGACACGGACCAGACUCCUACGGGAGGCAGCAGUGAGGAAUAUUGGUCAAUGGGAGAGAUCCUGAACCAGCCAAGCCGCGUGAGGGAAGACGGCCCUAUGGGUUGUAAACCUCUUUUGUCGGAGAACAAAACCCGGGACGUGUCCCGGACUGCGUGUAUCCGAAGAAAAAGCAUCGGCUAACUCCGUGCCAGCAGCCGCGGUAAUACGGAGGAUGCGAGCGUUAUCCGGAUUUAUUGGGUUUAAAGGGUGCGUAGGCGGUCCGUUAAGUCAGCGGUAAAAUUGCGGGGCUCAACCCCGUCGAGCCGUUGAAACUGGCAGACUUGAGUUGGCGAGAAGUACGCGGAAUGCGCGGUGUAGCGGUGAAAUGCAUAGAUAUCGCGCAGAACUCCGAUUGCGAAGGCAGCGUACCGGCGCCACACUGACGCUGAGGCACGAAAGCGUGGGGAUCGAACAGGAUUAGAUACCCUGGUAGUCCACGCAG
rnacentral:rRNA from 1 species